CAUCCAGAAUGACCUGACUGCAAAUGGAGGCUACUGUAUUUUAUGUCACAGACUGCUUUCUAAAGGARACUGACCCGAGACGCGUGGCAUCAUUAAAUUGAGAACAACGCUGGACAUGCACCACCACCACACAAGUGAAAGAUCUGGGUCCAUUGAGCUCUGACAUACCCCAAGAAAUGAAAGCUGGACUUAAAAAGGCUGAAAUGAAUCAGAUUAUCCCCAAUGAAGUCAUGUUUUCAUGGGGUUAUUUAUGUUCUGCGUUCUAUGAGUGGCGUGUGCGAACAAACAUAACCAGUAAGAGUCUCUUAAGAAAGGUAAGUAUGAAUAUUCCGUAUUCAUUACUUCUCAUCUCAGUUGCAAGGCACUGUGUCAGCUUCCUGAUCAGAUGAUGAGCAUCUUACGUAAGUCUAUUUUACAUUCA
rnacentral:lncRNA from 1 species